AAUUGAAUAUCGGAUCACGGUGCCCGAGAGGGCUUGAUAGGGAAGAGGGGUGUACUUCAGACGAAGGAUUCCCCCGCGGACCCGCCGCUGUAAGCGAGGACAAAAGGCAACCGGUUUAAGAUUAAGGAUGAAAUCAAGGCAGCAAGGAGGAGGCAACGCAGGCGUACAUGAAUGUACGUCGAGUAGCCGACGACGAAGCUGACGACGAUAGCGCCUUAAUGUGGAACCGGGAAUGUCACUGGUCGGAAGACUGGGAAGACUGCCUGGAGGAUGAAUCGCGAGCCAGAAGACCUGCCAUGAUCCCAGCACUCAA
rnacentral:ncRNA from 2 species